UACGAAGGGGGCUAGCGUUGCUCGGAAUCACUGGGCGUAAAGGGUGCGUAGGCGGGUCUUUAAGUCAGGGGUGAAAUCCUGGAGCUCAACUCCAGAACUGCCUUUGAUACUGAGGAUCUUGAGUUCGGGAGAGGUGAGUGGAAACUGCGAGUGUAGAGGGUGAAAAUUCGUAAGAUAUUCGCAAGAACACCAGUGGCGAAGGCGGCUC
rnacentral:rRNA from 1 species